rnacentral:rRNA from 1 species
AGGGCAAGUCUGGUGCCAGCAGCCGCGGUAAUUCCAGCUCCAAUAGCGUAUAUUAAAGUUGUUGCAGUUAAAAAGCUCGUAGUUGAACCUUGGGUCUGGCUGGCCGGUCCGCCUCACCGCGAGUACUGGUCCGGCUGGACCUUUCCUUCUGGGGAACCUCAUGGCCUUCACUGGCUGUGGGGGGAACCAGGACUUUUACUGUGAAAAAAUUAGAGUGUUCAAAGCAGGCCUUUGCUCGAAUACAUUAGCAUGGAAUAAUAGAAUAGGACGUGUGGUUCUAUUUUGUUGGUUUCUAGGACCGCCGUAAUGAUUAAUAGGGAUAGUCGGGGGCGUCGGUAUUCAGCUGUCAGAGGUGAAAUUCUUGGAUUUGCUGAAGACUAACUACUGCGAAAGCAUUCGCCAAGGAUGUUUUCAUUAAUCAGGGAACGAAAGUUAGGGGAUCGAAGACGAUCAGAUACCGUCGUAGUCUUAACCAUAAACUAUGCCGACUAGGGAUCGGACGGGAUUCUAUGAUGACCCGUUCGGCACCUUACGGGAAAC